rnacentral:rRNA from 1 species
UGGGGAAUUUUGGACAAUGGGCGAAAGCCUGAUCCAGCCAUGCCGCGUGCAGGAUGAAGGCCUUCGGGUUGUAAACUGCUUUUGUACGGAACGAAAAGACUCUGGUUAAUACCUGGGGUCCAUGACGGUACCGUAAGAAUAAGCACCGGCUAACUACGUGCCAGCAGCCGCGGUAAUACGUAGGGUGCAAGCGUUAAUCGGAAUUACUGGGCGUAAAGCGUGCGCAGGCGGUUAUAUAAGACAGAUGUGAAAUCCCCGGGCUCAACCGGGGAACUGCAUUUUGGACU